UGUGGGACUGUGGUGAGCAGCAGAAAGAACUCCCUGCAUCAGCUGACAGGCAGAGGAGCAGCAGGAGGGGCCAGAGGGAAGAGUCCAGCUUCCCUUCUGCUAGCUGCAUACACAGGAAGAGGGGAGGAAGAGCCAGUGUGGAACAGAGGCAGAAAGUACAGGUCUGCCUACAACAAAUGGAGGGAAGCUCUGAAACCCACUUAGAUGUUCACCAAAUUGUGCGGAGAAAAUAAGGUCUCACCACCAGAACCCAUUACUUUUUCCACAGAUUGCACAAAAUAAAAGAUGGAAAUCUCUGGUUCCAGGCUACUCUACAACAGGAGACUCUCAUGGAUGGAUUGGACUGUUCACCAUUAGAUGGCAGCAGAGAACUCCUUUCCUAGAGUUCCAGAGCUGACACUCGGGGGCCUGAAUCGAAGUCCUGAUCUUCGUGUCUAAGGGUACGUCCAGACUACCCCCCGGAUCAGCAGGUGGCAAUUGAUUUAUUGGGGGUCGAGACAUCACAUCUCAUCAAUCCCCGAACGCGCUCCCUGUCAACUCCGGAACUCCACUAGAGCGAGCGGCGGUAGCGGAGUCGACGGGGGAGCUGCGGCCGUCGAUCCUGAACCAUGAGGAUGGGAGCUGCUACAAAGCACAAGUGCUGCUGAAUAUACGGCCUACUACACAGCCCUAAUUUUCUACUGCUGUCAAGAGAAUGUUACUGCACAAUGACACCAUAGCCGGUCUACGGCCGGAUCUGUAGCUAGAAUUUAUUUCUGUUGUAACUAUUACAUUUUUUUCUGCUUUUUGUAACUGCAGAAAAUAUUUUGUAAACAGGAUUUCUUCCCUUCUCUGAGACUUUCUACCAAUGGACUCAUUCAGUUAUCCAGUGAUGUGCAAAGAAAUCCAUGUGCUGCAAUCAAAGGUAUAACUGCUACGCAUUUGUCCUUCAGUGCCAAGAACACAGCCUCACCCACUUGGGCUAAAGGAGCCUUUCUAUAGCUGCCAGUAAUGGUGUGUCUCUUGAGCUCAUUCUUGAGCAGCCCCUAGACUGCCAUGUCUCUGACUCACUCAUACACACAAUGGGUAUUUAGAAAUGUGUGUAAACAUAAUACGUGGGGCCAGAUACAAUCUGAAAACAAGAAACUCCAUCAACCCCACAACACCAUGCACAAGAUCAUGAUGUCCCUGGUAAAAACAACGAUUUGUCAGUCUGGUGUGGACACCCGAGAGAGUUUUUUAAACUGACAUCCACCUUUUAAUGUCAGUGCAGAAAGUGCCCAGAUUUAAUGUUGAAAGACAAAACACUGGGACCCCCAGAUGCUUUUCACCUGGGUUGGAUCCAGAAAACUCACCACAGCUCUUGUAAGUAUGAAGCCCCCACCCUGCCCCAUAACCUGUUCCACAAGCCGAGCCACAGAAAAUAACAGUACCCAGGGGAUGAUAACCCCAACCCUGUCUGCUAAAUUCUUCUCAUUUGUCUUCACUCCAAAAAUAAAUUCAUCGUAUCCACUGCAUCGAGCCCCCCUCACGCACAGUUUUAAAGCAUAUUCCAGCAGUCCCUAUAGUUCUAAGGGGGGUGCUAGUGCCUGCUCUUAGGUCUAUUGCUAGUGCCAGUCAGGAUAGCUCCUUCCAAAAGUGAUCUCCAGGUACUGGUGUUCUUUACAGAGGUGGCCUUGGUGCUCCUUCCUCCUACUGACUGAUGAGCUGUCAAACCAGGAGUGACAGUGACGUCUCUUUGGGAUAUUAUCAUGGGAUACUGCAGUACUUCCUAUAUGAGAACUUAUUGUUAUCCCACAGUGACUCUAGGACUGAUGCAUGUGGCUUCUUGAAACUCUACCGAUGCAAGUGCUUCAGAAUCUAGUCUUUAAACAUCUCUAACCAGCUGCUAAGACUGCCUGUGAUAUUUAUUUCCUCACAGUGUACAGUGGGUUCAUGCAUCUCUCAAUUCUUUGCAUUUGCAGCAGCUGGUACAUAAAUAACACCCUUUCCGUUCUAAGUUUCUUUUGUUGUAGAUGAGAUUUCUGUUUUGAAUGUAAGCUGCUGGUGAAUGUAAUGGAAAUGAAUCACAGAGAAAUUGGAUCACUCUGUUACCACUGUUUCAAUGGGAAAAAACAGAAGGUUCAGAGUCCCUUGCAAUUUCCAAUAUGCUGUUCUCAACUGCUCCUUUAACAGGAAUGUGUUUGUGAUCAUCCUUUUCUUUAAAAAAUAAAUCCAUUGCAUUUGUUAUACUGCUGCAAAACCAGUGUGCUGCUUUGCUUGUAUGAAAAGAAUCAUCUUGGGUGAUUCACAGAAGAAAUAUGCCAUGUUAAGUGUACUUGUUAAAUGUUUCAUAAAAUAUAUUCUAUAUGUGGGAGGAUGGGGCUUCCAAAGGGAUUUUGAAAUUUCCUCUGCAGACUUUGCCGGGGAAGCUGUGGGUUUGCCUCGAUAGCUCUGUUUACUGGUAUGUGAUUUGUACAUACAGCGGCCUAUAUUUUUAUGCACAAAUAUUACUGGCACAUUUUAAGAGGCUCUUUGAAAAUGUGCCCUGCGCCCAAUGAAUUCAAUGGGAGUUUUUCCACUUAAUUCCUUGAGAGCAUAAUUUGGCACCAAAGUGUGUAAAAUACAUGUGUCCUGUAUGAAUUAUGAAUUAGUAUUUCCAAAUAUACAGACUUUUUUCAUAUGUUCAACUAGCUACUUACUUAAAAUAUAUCCGUAUGGAAUGUGGGGAGAAGGGGGUCCAGCUAUGUCAAACUUUGGGGAGUUUGGAUCUGGAUCCAAACUUUGUAAGUCUCCCCUAUCACUGUCUGCAAAUGAUUUGAUAACCAGCCCUCUGGACAGAAACGCCAUUCCUCUGAAGGCGGGGGAUGGGAGGGGGCAGGGAAGGCCACGUAUGAGAUUCAUAGGGAUUCUGGAGACAGCUAAGGAGAGAGAACGUCCCAGAAUGGUGAAGUGGUGCUUUUUUUCAGCUGACUGGCAGGCAGUGUUCCUGUUGGAAUGGUUAUUUUAAUGCUCUUGGGGUUUUGUUGUAAUACCAAUGAUAUAUUAGAGUGCUUAGAGCAGCAGACAGAUGUCUUUUUUAAAUGACUGUUUAAAUAAAAAUGCAGCCCCAGGGCAUGUCUAGUACAGUACAGAAAAAAUUUGCCAAACCAAUAAAAACACUUUGGAAGAACACUUCAAUUUACUUUUAAAUCAAAAACUGACACAUAAGAUCAACUAGCUUUUUAUUUUUGCACCUUUGCCAUUCCCAGAUGCCCAUUUUUAGGUGGCUUUCAAACACCCGACUGCAGCGGGUUUUUGCUGCUUAACAAAACAGCCUCCCUCCUCGUGACAAUGAGUUUGCUUCCACACCAGAAAUUAGUGUCCAUGGCUUCUGUGCUUCACUAAACUACAGUAAUAUUGCGAGAGAGUGAGCUGGUUUUGCAUUGAU